rnacentral:rRNA from 1 species
AUUGAACGCUGGCGGCAUGCCUUACACAUGCAAGUCGAACGGCAGCGCGGGGCAACCUGGCGGCGAGUGGCGAACGGGUGAGUAAUAUAUCGGAACAUACCCUAGAGUGGGGGAUAACGUAGCGAAAGUUACGCUAAUACCGCAUACGCACUAAGGUGGAAAGUGGGGGAUUCGCAAGAACCUCAUGCUCAUGGAGUGGCCGAUAUCUGAUUAGCUAGUUGGUGAGGUAAAGGCUCACCAAGGCGACGAUCAGUAGCUGGUUUGAGAGAACGACCAGCCACACUGGAACUGAGACACGGUCCAGACUCCUACGGAGGCAGCAGUGGGGAAUUUUGGACAAUGGGGCGAACCCUGAUCCAGCAAUGCCGCGUGAGUGAAGAAGGCCUGU